AAUAAACCAAUUUUUUACUUUUUAUCUAUAAUUUUUGACUUUUCGUUUUAUUAAAAAAAAUUUGCAAUUGAUAUUUUUGUUUUAUUAGAUGAUAAAUCAUGAAUAGUAUUUUACGUGUGACUAAUUUUUUUAAUUUCCUAAAAAAAAUUUAAAUAAGACAGAUAAUCAAACGUUGGACACGAAAACU
rnacentral:pre_miRNA from 1 species